rnacentral:misc_RNA from 1 species
UCAGUUAUCGAAGCCGUUUCGAGGAGGGCCCCAAGUUGACCGAGACUGAAGUCCGAAGUGCGCUGCGCGGGCACCUGCUUGCAACCCUGGCCGGUGCGAAAGGGGUCGUGGACGAGCUUUGGGUGCCGCUCUCUAACGAGCGUGCCGACGUCGCAGUGAUCGGCCGUUGGAUGGAUGGGUUCGAGAUCAAGACUGAGCGCGACACGCUGAAACGGCUGCCUCGGCAGAUGGGCGCGUACGGGCGCCUUUUCGACCGAUGCACAGCAGUCAUUGCCGAGCGUCACCGGCAGCAUGCCGAGGAGGUCCUUCCCAAAUGGUGGGGCCUCAGGACCGU